UUGGGCUCUGGUUCCCUCGACCUUCCAGACAUAGCACCACAAAGUAGCCAUCUUAUCAACAUGCAAUCAUCACCUUGGUUUACCCUUUGGAGUGCCUGUGCAGCAAAAGAAACCUUUUUGUCUAUAAAUGUGAAACUGGGGGGGCAAACACGAUGGUCUAAAGAUGGUCAUAUCUUGGCUUCAGCACAGCUUUGUUUACCUCAGACAAAUAGCUUUGUCCCUCAUGUAUGUUUCCUCAGCCUGAUCCUGUUCACCCCUCUAUCUUCUGAAUUAUCUUACCGCUCACAAGUCACUGCCAUCUUCAGGUUAUAGCAUUAUCCAGGAGCCCACUAGUCUCUGAACAUGUUGGUGAUAGUGUAAUCAUUAGCAAGAACAAGGACUGGCAAAUCAAAGUAAACACUCGAUCGGGAACAAUUGACAGCUGGAAGGUAUGUUGUGGCGGACCAAAAAAGAAGUUUCGUUUGCUUUACCUUUCUGUUCGCACAUUUGAUUCUGCAUCAUAACCUAGGAGGCAAGUGGAGGAUAAACUUACAAGACAUACAAAGGAAGCGAUGGCUCAAAAGUCAAAAUUGAGUUUCCUUUCCUAAACAGAUAAAAGGUGUAAAUCGAGUGGCCUGUAGUCCACACUUAAAAUGGGACCUGUCGGUAUUUUUAUGUUAACGUGGCUUAUUAUACCUCACACUAGGCAUUUGUUUUCUAAAUUUAGCGAUCUGCCGGAGAGAGAGAGAGAGAGGGAGGGAGGGCUUAGGCCCAUGAAAUAGGGAAAAUGUUUUUCCUUUUUACUGGAACCCCAUAAAUUCCAAAAUAAAAAUACAAACGAGCUCUGGAAAUUCAAAUAAAUAAAUAAAUAAAUAAAUAAUUGUGUAUUUUGAUAUGCUGAAUCAAAUAAACUACCAACAAUCCAAACUAGCAAGCUAAAGCGGUUCCAUUUAAUAUGUAUACCUGCACUUAUCUGAAAUUCUUAUGUACUCCCUCCGUCUAACAAAAGAUGUCCCAAGUUUGUCAAAAUUUGAAUGUAUCUAGACAUGACUUACUGUAUAGAUGCAUUCAAAUUUAGUCAAAGUCGAGACAUCCUUUGUUGGACGGAGGGAGUAUAAAAUUUUCAUUUUCCUUGUGGUCCGAGUAACUGCAGACAGGCUAUUCAAUCGUUAGUUAUUACAGUCAUCUUGGCUUGUCAAACUCAAGAUACGGCUCAAACCUUUUAUCAGCGUCAUUACCAAGUCGUUUAUUAAAAUCUGAAACUCAUGAUACUUGUCUGAACCACAGAUCAACAACAUUGAGCUUUUGAGCAAGGGGAUACUUCCUUGCUUUUGGCGUGCACCAACUGACAAUGACAACGGGGGCUUCUACACCAAGUCCUAUGCUACGAGAUGGCGAGAAGCCUUCCUCGACAACAUCGUCUUUCGCAGCAGCCAGUUUUCAGUGAAGGAGCUACCGGACCAUGCCGUCGAGAUUUCUACCACAUAUUAUGGUCUUCCUGGUCACUUGGUAAAACCGGACGACGCUGCUCUUUCAGAAGCUCCCGAGUCCACACUUUUCCAGGUCCCCAUGCGCUGCCGGAUGUACGAGUCAGGUGACGUGAUACUCGAAUACGAGGUAAACCCCAAGAGUGACCUCCCCCCUCUCCCGAGAAUCGGCAUCGUCUUCAACACGGAGAAAUCCCUGAGCCACGUCACGUGGUACGGGAGGGGCCCGUUCGAGUGCUACCCCGACCGCAAGGCCGCCGCGCAUGUUGGCGUGUACGAGAGCAGCGUGGAGGACCUCCAUGUCCCCUACAUCGUCCCAGGCGAGUGCGGUGGCCGCGCGGACGUCAGGUGGACGGCGCUCCGGAAUGCCGAGGGGUUCGGCCUGUUCGCCUCGGUCCACGGCGAGUCCCCACCGAUGCAGAUGAGCGCCAGCUACUAUGGCGCCGCGGAGCUGGACCGGGCAACCCACAAACACAAGCUGGUCAAGGGAGAUGACAUCGAGGUUUGUUUUGCAUCCAUCCGGUCACCGUGGUUCGGACUUCAGACACUGUUGCCUGUUGCACUGGGAUAGCAGACUGAUGCUUGAAAUGGCCUACAUUUUGCAGGUGCACCUUGAUCACAGGCACAUGGGGCUGGGAGGGGACGACAGCUGGACGCCGUGCGUGCACGAGCAGUACCUGCUGCCGCCGGACCGCCGCUACGCCUUCUCCGUGAGGCUCCGUCCGUUGCUGCCGUCGACGUCGUGCGAUGACAUCUACCGCUCUCAGCUCCCCCAUUGAUUCAGAGGGAGAAAGCAACUGAAAGAUGGAAACAAACAAAUAAACGCCGAGUCGCGUUCGCUAGCUCACUGUAAUGUAAUUGGCCACAGGGUACCUGUCAAUAAAAGAAGCGAGCG
rnacentral:lncRNA from 1 species